UGGGGAAUCUUCCGCAAUGGACGAAAGUCUGACGGAGCAACGCCGCGUGAGUGAUGACGGCCUUCGGGUUGUAAAGCUCUGUUAAUCGGGACGAAAGGCCUUCUUGCGAAUAGUUAGAAGGAUUGACGGUACCGGAAUAGAAAGCCACGGCUAACUACGUGCCAGCAGCCGCGGUAAUUCGUAGGUGGCAAGCGUUGUCCGGAAUUAUUGGGCGUAAAGCGCGCGCAGGCGGAUCGGUCAGUCUGUCUUAAAAGUUCGGGGCUUAACCCCGUGAUGGGAUGGAAACUGCCGAUCUAGAGUAUCGGAGAGGAAAGUGGAAUUCCUAGUGUAGCGGUGAAAUGCGUAGAUAUUAGGAAGAACACCAGUGGCGAAGGCGACUUUCUGGACGAAAACUGACGCUGAGGCGCGAAAGCCAGGGGAGCGAACGGGAUUAGAUACCCCGGUAGUCCUGGCCGUAAACGAUGGGUUCUAGGUGUAGGAGGUAUCGACCCCUUCUGUGCCGGAGUUAACGCAAUAAGUACCCCGCCUGGGGAGUACGACCGCAAGGUUG
rnacentral:rRNA from 1 species